rnacentral:snoRNA from 1 species
ACUUUUCGCAGGAUGAUCCAGCAACCUUAUAGCAUAGUUCACACUGAACACUCGUGUUGACAACCAUGCAUCUAACGUCUUUCGCUCCUAUCUGAUCCACAUUC